rnacentral:rRNA from 1 species
GGUUAAGCGACUAAGCGUACACGGUGGAUGCCCUGGCAGUCAGAGGCGAUGAAGGACGUGCUAAUCUGCGAUAAGCGUCGGUGAGGUGAUAUGAACCGUUAUAACCGGCGAUUUCCGAAUGGGGAAACCCAGUGUGUUUCGACACACUAUCAUUAACUGAAUCCAUAGGUUAAUGAGGCGAACCGGGGGAACUGAAACAUCUAAGUACCCCGAGGAAAAGAAAUCAACCGAGAUUCCCCCAGUAGCGGCGAGCGAACGGGGAGGAGCCCAGAGCCUGAAUCAGUGUGUGUGUUAGUGGAAGCGUCUGGAAAGGCGCGCGAUACAGGGUGACAGCCCCGUACACAAAAAUGCACAUAUUGUGAGCUCGAUGAGUAGGGCGGGACACGUGGUAUCCUGUCUGAAUAUGGGGGGACCAUCCUCCAAGGCUAAAUACUCCUGACUGACCGAUAGUGAACCAGUACCGUGAGGGAAAGGCGAAAAGAACCCCGGCGAGGGGAGUGAAAAAGAACCUGAAACCGUGUACGUACAAGCAGUGGGAGCCUCUUUAUGGGGUGACUGCGUACCUUUUGUAUAAUGGGUCAGCGACUUAUAUUCUGUAGCAAGGUUAACCGAAUAGGGGAGCCGAAGGGAAACCGAGUCUUAACUGGGCGUUAAGUUGCAGGGUAUAGACCCGAAACCCGGUGAUCUAGCCAUGGGCAGGUUGAAGGUUGGGUAACACUAACUGGAGGACCGAACCGACUAAUGUUGAAAAAUUAGCGGAUGACUUGUGGCUGGGGGUGAAAGGCCAAUCAAACCGGGAGAUAGCUGGUUCUCCCCGAAAGCUAUUUAGGUAGCGCCUCGUGAAUUCAUCUCCGGGGGUAGAGCACUGUUUCGGCAAGGGGGUCAUCCCGACUUACCAACCCGAUGCAAACUGCGAAUACCGGAGAAUGUUAUCACGGGAGACACACGGCGGGUGCUAACGUCCGUCGUGAAGAGGGAAACAACCCAGACCGCCAGCUAAGGUCCCAAAGUCAUGGUUAAGUGGGAAACGAUGUGGGAAGGCCCAGACAGCCAGGAUGUUGGCUUAGAAGCAGCCAUCAUUUAAAGAAAGCGUAAUAGCUCACUGGUCGAGUCGGCCUGCGCGGAAGAUGUAACGGGGCUAAACCAUGCACCGAAGCUGCGGCAGCGACACUAUGUGUUGUUGGGUAGGGGAGCGUUCUGUAAGCCUGUGAAGGUGGCCUGUGAGGGUUGCUGGAGGUAUCAGAAGUGCGAAUGCUGACAUAAGUAACGAUAAAGCGGGUGAAAAGCCCGCUCGCCGGAAGACCAAGGGUUCCUGUCCAACGUUAAUCGGGGCAGGGUGAGUCGACCCCUAAGGCGAGGCCGAAAGGCGUAGUCGAUGGGAAACAGGUUAAUAUUCCUGUACUUGGUGUUACUGCGAAGGGGGGACGGAGAAGGCUAUGUUGGCCGGGCGACGGUUGUCCCGGUUUAAGCGUGUAGGCUGGUUUUCCAGGCAAAUCCGGAAAACCAAGGCUGAGGCGUGAUGACGAGGCACUACGGUGCUGAAGCGACAAAUGCCCUGCUUCCAGGAAAAGCCUCUAAGCAUCAGGUAACAUCAAAUCGUACCCCAAACCGACACAGGUGGUCAGGUAGAGAAUACCAAGGCGCUUGAGAGAACUCGGGUGAAGGAACUAGGCAAAAUGGUGCCGUAACUUCGGGAGAAGGCACGCUGAUAUGUAGGUGAAGCGACUUGCUCGUGGAGCUGAAAUCAGUCGAAGAUACCAGCUGGCUGCAACUGUUUAUUAAAAACACAGCACUGUGCAAACACGAAAGUGGACGUAUACGGUGUGACGCCUGCCCGGUGCCGGAAGGUUAAUUGAUGGGGUUAGCGGUAACGCGAAGCUCUUGAUCGAAGCCCCGGUAAACGGCGGCCGUAACUAUAACGGUCCUAAGGUAGCGAAAUUCCUUGUCGGGUAAGUUCCGACCUGCACGAAUGGCGUAAUGAUGGCCAGGCUGUCUCCACCCGAGACUCAGUGAAAUUGAAUUCGCUGUGAAGAUGCAGUGUACCCGCGGCAAGACGGAAAGACCCCGUGAACCUUUACUAUAGCUUGACACUGAACAUUGAGCCUUGAUGUGUAGGAUAGGUGGGAGGCUUUGAAGUGUGGACGCCAGUCUGCAUGGAGCCGACCUUGAAAUACCACCCUUUAAUGUUUGAUGUUCUAACGUUGGCCCGUAAUCCGGGUUGCGGACAGUGUCUGGUGGGUAGUUUGACUGGGGCGGUCUCCUCCUAAAGAGUAACGGAGGAGCACGAAGGUUGGCUAAUCCUGGUCGGACAUCAGGAGGUUAGUGCAAUGGCAUAAGCCAGCUUGACUGCGAGCGUGACGGCGCGAGCAGGUGCGAAAGCAGGUCAUAGUGAUCCGGUGGUUCUGAAUGGAAGGGCCAUCGCUCAACGGAUAAAAGGUACUCCGGGGAUAACAGGCUGAUACCGCCCAAGAGUUCAUAUCGACGGCGGUGUUUGGCACCUCGAUGUCGGCUCAUCACAUCCUGGGGCUGAAGUAGGUCCCAAGGGUAUGGCUGUUCGCCAUUUAAAGUGGUACGCGAGCUGGGUUUAGAACGUCGUGAGACAGUUCGGUCCCUAUCUGCCGUGGGCGCUGGAGAACUGAGGGGGGCUGCUCCUAGUACGAGAGGACCGGAGUGGACGCAUCACUGGUGUUCGGGUUGUCAUGCCAAUGGCACUGCCCGGUAGCUAAAUGCGGAAGAGAUAAGUGCUGAAAGCAUCUAAGCACGAAACUUGCCCCGAGAUGAGUUCUCCCUGAGACUUAGAGUCUCCUGAAGGAACGUUGAAGACGACGACGUUGAUAGGCCGGGUGUGUAAGCGCAGCGAUGCGUUGAGCUAACCGGUACUAAUGAACCGUGAGGCUUAACCUU